rnacentral:rRNA from 1 species
UUUCCUACGGGAGGCAGCAGUAGGGAAUAUUGCACAAUGGGGGAAACCCUGAUGCAGCAACGCCGCGUGAGUGAAGAAGGCCCUUGGGUUGUAAAGCUCUUUAGCGCGGGAAGAAGGUGGAUACGGUGAAUAAUCGUGUUCGCUGACGGUACCGCGAGAAUAAGCACCGGCUAAUUUCGUGCCAGCAGCCGCGGUAAUACGAAAGGUGCAAGCGUUACUCGGAAUCACUGGGCGUAAAGCGUUUGUAGGUGGCUUUGUAAGUUGAAUGUGAAAGCCCAGGGCCUAACCCUGGAAGUGCAUUCAAUACUGCAAAGCUUGAGUAUGAGAGAGGAAGAUGGAAUUCCUGGUGUAGUGGUGAAAUACGUAGAUAUCAGGAGGAACAUCGGCGGCGAAAGCGGUCUUCUGGCUCAAUACUGACACUGAAAAACGAAAGCGUGGGGAUCAAACAGGAUUAGAUACCCUGGUAGUCCACGCCGUAAACGAUGAUAACUUGUUGUUGGAGGUAUUGACCCCUUCAGUGACGUAGCUAACGCGUUAAGUUAUCCGCCUGGGAAGUACGGUCGCAAGAUUAAAACUCAAAGAAAUUGACGGGGGCCCGCACAAGCAGUGGAUUAUGUGGUUCAAUUCGAACUUCACGAAAAACCUUACCUGGGUUUGACAUGCACUGGAAG